CGGGGUGCAGCAGGCGCGAAAACUUUACAAUGCUGGCAACAGCGAUAAGGGGACCUCGAGUGCCAGGAUACAAUCUUGGCUGUCGCGAUGCCUAAAAAGCAUUGCAUAGCAAGGGCCGGGCAAGACCGGUGCCAGCCGCCGCGGUAACACCGGCGGCUCGAGUGGUAACCGCUAUUAUUGGGUCUAAAGGGUCUGUAGCCGGCCGGAUAAGUCUUUUGGGAAAUCCAGCUGCUCAACAGUUGGGCUUUCAGAAGAUACUGUUCGGCUCGAGGCCGGGAGAGGUGAGAGGUACUUCAGGGGUAGGGGUGAAAUCUUGUAAUCCUUGAAGGACCACCAGUGGCGAAGGCGUCUCACCAGAACGGACCUGACGGCAAGGGACGAAAGCUAGGGGCACGAACCGGAUUAGAUACCCGGGUAGUCCUAGCCGUAAACGAUACUCGCUAGGUGUCAGCCACGGUGCGACCGUGGUUGGUGCCGUAGGGAAGCCGUGAAGCGAGCCACCUGGGAAGUACGGCCGCAAGGCUGAAACUUAAAGGAAUUGGCGGGGGAGC
rnacentral:rRNA from 1 species